CCUACGGGUGGCAGCAGUGAGGAAUAUUGGUCAAUGGACGGGAGACUGAACCAGCCAAGCCGCGUGCGGGAGGAAGGUACAAAGUAUUGUAAACCUCUUUUGUCAGGGAAUAAAGGCGGGGACGUGUCCCCGGAUGAAUGUACCUGAAGAAAAAGCAUCGGCUAACUCCGUGCCAGCAGCCGCGGUAAUACGGAGGAUGCGAGCGUUAUCCGGAUUUAUUGGGUUUAAAGGGUGCGUAGGCGGUCCGUUAAGUUAGUGGUCAAAGCCCGGGGCUCAACCCCGGCCCCGCCGUUGAUCCUGGCAGUCUAGAGUGGGGGAGAGGUAUGCGGAAUGCGUGGUGUAGCGGUGAAAUGCAUAGAUAGCGCGCAGAACUCCGAUUGCGAAGGCAGCAUGCC
rnacentral:rRNA from 1 species